CAGAGCAAUCGUGGAAUUUCGAAUUGGAUUGACAUGUACGAGUACCGAUAAAUUACUCUUUGUUGCCUCGCACGAGCGCUGCGCGUAUGCUGAAAGUGAUUUCUGAACUGGGGCUAAACGCAAGGCCGCUUCUCGGGACCAUUAUCUGAUAUCCUUAUUCCAAGCCGUCUCGCGGAUGUGCUUGUCACACUAUAUCAGACUUGAUUGAUAUUGCUUCUGUAGUUUGUGUAUGAGUGUGUGUGUGUGUGUGUGUGUGUGUGUGUUUUAUCUGGUUUUGAUUUGAUAUAAUUGAAAGAUUAUAUGUAUAUGUAAUUAUAUAUGUACAAAUGGCUGCUGAGUAGGAUUGGUCCAAGUUCAGCAAUACAUUUAUAUUAUAUGUAGAAAAAGUUUGGUUACGCUUUUUGCAGUUUUUAAUAUGAAGAGAUUGAAGCUAAUAAAAAAAAAGAAAAUAUGAAAUAUGAGGCAGAGACGAUUGCAGACUUGGAAACGUCUCGAUCAGAUUUCCAAUGUUGACACCAACGUAUCAUUCAAGGCUGAGUGACUUUUUCUUUCUGAUAACUGGAAACGGUUGUGAACUGAGGCGAGAAGGAAAAAGACUGCAUUGCCGCGUCCGUGAACUCCAUCAGUCCAUCAGGAGCGCUCGAUUAGAAUCAACAAGGAAGUUUGCAACAGGUUUGUCAAUAGUGCCGAUUCGACAAACUUAUUCUGACGUACUUCGAGAACGAUGAAGAAAGUGCGUCAGAGUGCGAAUACGACGUUGCAACACGUGUAUGCACGGACACAUCUACUACCUGCAGCCGCAGUGUGACGAAGCUCGACAUUAAAGAGCCUCUCGCAAUAUCGGGUGUAGCGCAGGCUGGAGAGCGACUUGGCAGGACCUAGAGGAUACGGAGAGUAUAAUGUAAACUAAUUAGCAACGAGUCUACAUCAAUUAAGCCCACUAGAGUGCCCCUUUCGCACUGACAUUCCGCUGGAGGGGUGCACCAGAUAUCGACAACCUGCCAUGACAAUGACGUAUCAAAAUUAUAAAAAUCAAUGUAGACUGUAAUAUAAAAAACGGAAGAGAAGACGACAGAGAAAAAAUGGCACUUUUAUACAUGAUAAAUUUUCACUCAAAGUUUUUAGCCCUUCAUGAUCAUUUUAUGAUUUUAUAAGAGUCAUGAAAUCUUUCGGUAUGUUUUAAGGAAUUAAAACUAUGAAUUUUCAUAGGCAUUUUAAUUCUGAAAAUACUCCCUCCUCUGUUAUACUAUAUUAUAAUUGAUAUUGUAUAUUGACUCUUUCAACUUUUAUAAUUCGACCUAAAUAUCUUGCAUACGUCAUCAGGAUAUAAAAUGGCUGAAAAGGAGGCAAUUAAGUUAUGUACUAUUAUAAAAUGGAAAAUGACGUCCGUUCCAUAUAAUCGAUUCGCGAUUAUCGCAGCUACAAUGGACGAUCUCGAAUCAUGCUUUUGAGUUGGUGGCACGUUGCAGAAUACUCGGUGAUCUAACACUUGGAUCGUACGCACAUUUUGGUGACACGUGAAUCGCUCUGAGAGAAAUGCGUAGAGAGAUACGUAUAGAUUUUAUUCUUACGUGGCUGUUUCCAAUAUUUAUUUUUAUACUGCAAAAGCAAUUGAAUUGCAGUUUGAUGGAAAUCUAGCCAAGCAAACGUUUAAAAAAUUCACGAUGCUAAAAUGGAUGAAAUGAAUGAAAAGAAGAUGAAAUCAUCACAAAAAUUUUGACAGAGAAUGAUAAAUAUUAGAUCAUUAACUAAAUCCGGGUCACAUCUGGAUGGCGAUGAAUCAUAUUAAACUCAUACUUAUGACAGCACAACAUAGCUUAUCGUAUAUUUAACAGAAUUUUAUAGGUAACCUCUUAAAAAACAAAAAGCAAAAUUCUCUAAAACGUCACUACAAUAUCUGUAGCUAAACGCGACCCGGAUUAUUUAGUUAACGACCUAACAUAUUCACCUAAAUAUUUUUGUGUCACAUGUUUCACCACUUAUGUCUCCGAGUAUUAUAAAUGCCGAAUAAACGGUACAUUGGUAGUGGCUCUU